AGCGAACGCUGGCGGCAGGCUUAACACAUGCAAGUCGAGCGGGCACCUUCGGGUGUCAGCGGCAGACGGGUGAGUAACACGUGGGAACGUACCCUUUGGUUCGGAACAACUCUGGGAAACUGGAGCUAAUACCGGAUACGCCCUUAUGGGGAAAGGUUUACCGCCGAAGGAUCGGCCCGCGUCUGAUUAGCUAGUUGGUGAGGUAACGGCUCACCAAGGCGACGAUCAGUAGCUGGUCUGAGAGGAUGAUCAGCCACACUGGGACUGAGACACGGCCCAGACUCCUACGGGAGGCAGCAGUGGGGAAUAUUGGACAAUGGGCGCAAGCCUGAUCCAGCCAUGCCGCGUGAGUGAUGAA
rnacentral:rRNA from 1 species